rnacentral:rRNA from 1 species
UACGUAGGUGGCAAGCGUUGUCCGGAUUUACUGGGCGUAAAGGGCGUGCAGGCGGUCUGUUAAGUGCAGGGUGAAAGCUCCCGGCUCAACUGGGAGAGGUCCUUGCAUACUGGCGGACUUGAGGGGGGUAGGGGAAAGUGGAAUUCCCGGUGUAGUGGUGAUAUGCGUAGAUAUCGGGAGGAACACCUGUGGCGAAGGCGACACGCUGGGCCGUACCUGACGCUAAAGCGCGACAGCAUGGGGAGCAAACGGG